rnacentral:rRNA from 1 species
CCUACGGGAGGCAGCAGUGGGGAAUAUUGGACAAUGGGCGAAAGCCUGAUCCAGCAAUGCCGCGUGUGUGAAGAAGGCCUGCGGGUUGUAAAGCACUUUCAGUUGGGAAGAUUAUGACGUUACCAACAGAAGAAGCACCGGCUAAAUCCGUGCCAGCAGCCGCGGUAAUACGGAUGGUGCGAGCGUUAAUCGGAAUUACUGGGCGUAAAGCGCGCGUAGGCGGCUAAGUCAGUCAGAAGUGAAAGCCCCGGGCUCAACCUGGGAAUUGCUUUCGAUACUGCUUAGCUAGAGUUUGGUAGAGGAUAGUGGAAUUCCAGGUGUAGCGGUGAAAUGCGUAGAUAUCUGGAGGAACAUCAGUGGCGAAGGCGACUGUCUGGACCAAAACUGACGCUGAGGUGCGAAAGCGUGGGUAGCAAACAGGAUUAGAUACCCUGGUAGUCCACGCCGUAAACGAUGUCAACUAGCCGUCGGGUCUAUUUACAGACUUGGUGGCGCAGCUAGCGCGAUAAGUUGACCGCCUGGGGAGUACGGCCGCAAGGUUAAAACUCAAAGGAAUUGACGGA